GAGUUUGAUCCUGGCUCAGGACGAACGCUGGCGGCGUGCCUAAUGCAUGCAAGUCGAGCGGGCUACGGUCUUCGGACUGUAGCUUAGCGGCGAACGGGUGAGUAACACGUAGGUAAUCUACCCUUCAGAGGAGGACAACCUCAGGAAACUGAGGCUAAACCUUCAUACGUUCACUGGUAGGGAUACUGGUGAAGAAAGAGUUACCUUAGUGGUAGCUGCUGAAGGAUGAGCCUGCGGCCCAUCAGGUAGUUGGUGAGGUAACGGCUCACCAAGCCGAAGACGGGUAACCGGUCUGAGAGGAUGUCCGGUCACACUGGGACUGAGACACGGCCCAGACUCCUACGGGAGGCAGCAGCAGGGAAUCUUGGGCAAUGGGCGAAAGCCUGACCCAGCGACGCCGCGUGGAGGAAGAAGUCCUUCGGGGCGUAAACUCCUGGACUGGGGGACGAGAAAGGACGGUACCCCAGUAGAAAGGGACGGCUAACUACGUGCCAGCAGCCGCGGUAAAACGUAGGUCCCGAGCGUUGUUCGGAUUCACUGGGUGUAAAGGGCGCGUAGGUGGUUGUCUGUGUCUCAUGUGAAAACUCAGGGCUCAACUCUGAGAUUGCGUGGGAAACUAGGCAGCUAGAGGACGGUAGAGGGGAGUGGAAUUCCCGGUGUAGCGGUAAAAUGCGUAGAUAUCGGGAGGAACACCGGUGGCGAAGGCGGCUCUCUGGGCCGAUCCUGACGCUGAGGCGCGAAAGCUAGGGGAGCGAACCGGAUUAGAUACCCGGGUAGUCCUAGCCGUAAACGAUGGGUGCUAGGUGUUGGGGGGUAAAGACCCUUCAGUGCCGAAGCCAACGCGAUAAGCAUCCCACCUGGGGAGUACGGCCGCAAGGUUAAACUCAAAGGAAU
rnacentral:rRNA from 1 species